UUUGGCCAAACCAGGAAGGAGGAUGGAUGCUGGAGACAAGAUAGUCGGCCGGCUGGCUACAGAGGGAUUACUGUCGUCCAAACGCACUGUGUGAUAUACCCAGGAUGUACGAGCAGAGACAUGUUUGGUUAACCUCAACACUGGGGCUUGAGUGAACGCAGACUCCCGGCUGCAGCAUUCUGGAGGAAAUCCGGGCCCGUGGCCGUCCAUUUGUCCAGGAGAUGUCCCAGUCCGUCCCCAGAUGCUAAGUGAGCUGCUUUGGCAGAUGCUGAAGGCAACAUCUCAAUAUAAAGUGAUUGAUUACAUCAAAACAUUCCAAUACAAACUGAUAGAUUUCUUUGCCAGAAAUGUCGAAACUUUGAGAAAAAGAUGUCAAAGGUGGAGAAUUGUCUUGUCUUUAAGAACAUGUUCUUUCAUAUCUUUCUAUAUGAAGUGUAAAAGAUAAACAUAA